rnacentral:rRNA from 1 species
AUACCCUAUUAUUUUUAUUGUAAAAUUUUAAGUCAGAGUAUUAGUAGAUAUGGUCUUUAAACUUAAAGAAUUUGGCGGUAUUAUAGUCUAUUUAGAGGAAUCUGUUAUAUAAUCGAUAAUCCACGUUGAACCUUACUUAUGUAAAUUCUUGUAUACCGCUGUUUAAGAAUAUACUUUUAGGUGUAUUUUCAGGAUAUAAUAAUAAUUAAAAUUUCAAGUCAAGGUGCAGUUAUAUAUAAGUUGAAUAAUGGAUUACAAUAAAUUUUAUUUAUUAUGGAUUAUUACUAAAUAAGUAAUUUGAAGGUGGAUUUAAUUGUAAUUUUAUAAAGAUUAUUAAAAUGAUUUAUAGCUCUAUAAUAUGCACACAUCGCCC